UGUUGCUCAGUUUCUGUGCUUUCCAUUUGGUGAAAAUGUUGAUGUGGAUUGCAUUGCGCCCAAAGUAGCCACACUCUUCAGCCUGGACUCCAGUGCUGUCGAGAAUGAAAUUCUCACACUGCAAAAUGACAUUGAGAUCAAAUGCAGAGCAACACCUGGGAUAACUGGCGAAUUCUGGAACCUGCUGCUGGAAGAGAAGUAUCCAAACCUCAGACAAUGCGCACUGAAUAUGACUUCCCUUUUUGGAUCAACAUAUUUGUGUGAGUCUGCCUUUUCACACAUGAAAAUAAUCAAGUCCAAGUACAGAACCACACUGACUGAUGACCACCUCGCAGCCUGCUUAAGGCUGGCACUCAACUCCUACUGUCCGGAUUACGAGAAGCUAGCUGCCUCCUCCCAGUGCCAGAAGUCCCACUAAGAUUCAUUUAAAUCCAACUGCUGGUUUCCCUGCUAUUGCCACUCUCCAGUGAAGUUUAUCAUUUUGAAAUAUUGGACUUCUCUUCUCCUUCCUGCUUUGAAGUUAUCUCUUCUGGUGUGUGUGUGUGUGUGUGUGUGUGUGUGUGUGUGUGUGUGUGUGUGUGUGUGUGUUAAUCUGUUGAAUUCAUGUUGAAUUGAUGUUUUCCAAUUUUGGAUUUCUGUUAUGGAGUUUUUGGAGUGUUCUUUUCUGUAGUUGUGUGUGUGUGUGUGUGUGUGUGUGUGUGUGUGUGUGUGUGGUUGAGAGAGAGAGAGAGAGAGAGAUGAUGUGCCUCUGAAGUUCUGUUUUGGACAACCUAUUUGUGACAUGUUGAUCAGUUCCUCAUUUUUUUGUGCAUUUAUACUGCCUAUUCUCCUCCUGUGCAAAUAAAAACUCAACUACGUGUGA